GUUGGCUUAGAAGCAGCCAUCCUUUAAAGAAAGCGUAACAGCUCACUGGUCUAGUCGGCCUGCGCGGAAGAUUUAACGGGGCUUAAGCCGUAUACCGAAGCUGCGGCUCGAUGCGUUCUUCGGAGCGUAUCGGGGGUAGGGGAGCGUUCUGUAAGCCAGUGAAGGUGCGUCGCGAGGCGUGCUGGAGGUAUCAGAAGUGCGAAUGCUGACAUGAGUAACGAUUAUGCGGGUGAAAAACCCGCACGCCAGAAGCCCAAGGUUUCCUGCGCAACGCUAAUCGGCGCAGGGUGAGUCGGCCCCUAAGGCGAGACCGAAAGGUGUAGUCGAUGGGAAACAGGUCAACAUUCCUGUACCGGCCGUAACUGCGAUGGGGUGACGGAGAAGGUUAGGCUUACCGGGCGUUGGUUGUCCCGGGAAAAGCAGGUAGGCGGGCGCUUUUGGAAAAUCCGGAGCGCCGCUAACGCCGAGAUGCGAGACCACCGGCAUUGCCGGGAAGUAGCUGACACCAUGCUUCCAAGAAAAACCUCUAAGCAUCAGGUUGCGGACGACCGUACCGUAAACCGACACAGGUGGGCAGGGAGAGAAUCCUAAGGCGUUUGAGAGAACUCGGGUGAAGGAACUAGGCAAAUUGGUACCGUAACUUCGGGAGAAGGUACGCCUCUGACGGUGACGGGACUUGCUCCCCAAGCUGUCGGAGGCCGCAGUGACCAGGUGGCUGCGACUGUUUACUAAAAACACAGCACUCUGCUAACUCGCAAGAGGAUGUAUAGGGUGUGACGCCUGCCCGGUGCCGGAAGGUUAAGUGAUCUUGUUAGCCCUUUGGGCGAAGCUCGUGACCGAAGCCCCGGUAAACGGCGGCCGUAACUAUAACGGUCCUAAGGUAGCGAAAUUCCUUGUCGGGUAAGUUCCGACCUGCACGAAUGGCGUAACGAUGGCCACACUGUCUCCACCCGAGACUCAGCGAAAUUGAACUCGCUGUUAAGAUGCAGUGUACCCGCGGCUAGACGGAAAGACCCCGUGAACCUUUACUACAGCUUUGUACUGGAUCUUGAGCCAGCUUGUGCAGGAUAGGUGGGAGGCUUUGAAGCGAGAACGCUAGUUUUCGUGGAGCCAACCUUGAAAUACCACCCUGGCUUGUUUGAGGUUCUAACCCAGGCCCGUUAUCCGGGUCGGGGACAGUGCAUGGUGGGUAGUUUGACUGGGGCGGUCUCCUCCCAAAGAGUAACGGAGGAGCGCAAAGGUACCCUCAGCGCGGUCGGACAUCGCGCAUUGCGUGUAAAGGCAAAAGGGUGCUUGACUGCGAGACGUACAAGUCGAGCAGGGACGAAAGUCGGUCUUAGUGAUCCGGUGGUUCUGUAUGGAAUGGCCAUCGCUAAACGGAUAAAAGGUACUCCGGGGAUAACAGGCUGAUUCCUCCCAAGAGUCCACAUCGACGGAGGAGUUUGGCACCUCGAUGUCGGCUCAUCACAUCCUGGGGCUGUAGCAGGUCCCAAGGGUAUGGCUGUUCGCCAUUUAAAGUGGUACGCGAGCUGGGUUUAGAACGUCGUGAGACAGUUCGGUCCCUAUCUGCCGUGGGCGUUGGAGAAUUGAGAGGAGCUGCUCCUAGUACGAGAGGACCGGAGUGGACGUACCUCUGGUGUUCCGGUUGUCACGCCAGUGGCAUUGCCGGGUAGCUAUGUACGGAAGGGAUAACCGCUGAAAGCAUCUAAGCGGGAAGCCCACCCCAAGAUUAGGUUUCCCGGAUCUUCGGAUCCCUGAAGGGCCCUUGAAGACUACAAGGUUGAUAGGCUGGGUGUGGAAGCGCGGCAACGCGUGAAGCUAACCAGUACUAAUUGCCCGUGCGGCUUAAACCG
rnacentral:rRNA from 1 species